rnacentral:lncRNA from 1 species
GAAAAAAAUAGGGGCAUUGGAGUGUGUGCCAGAAGGGUUGGGGCCUCGCAUCCGGUGAAGAAGCUGUAAGGGAUUCCCGUGCUACCCAAUCCAAUUCUAUCAUGAGACCAGUUGGGCCCAGAUCGUCGCCAGUAACACGCGCAUCAGGAGAAGGAGCGCCGGUGGAGGACAUGCCUCCAGAGAAUGAAUGGGUUGCAGCGGCAGA